GACGAACGCUGGCGGCGUGCUUAACACAUGCAAGUCGAACGGAAAGGCCCUGCUUUUGUGGGGUGCUCGAGUGGCGAACGGGUGAGUAACACGUGAGUAACCUGCCCUUGACUUUGGGAUAACUUCAGGAAACUGGGGCUAAUACCGGAUAGGAGCUCCUGCUGCAUGGUGGGGGUUGGAAAGUUUCGGCGGUUGGGGAUGGACUCGCGGCUUAUCAGCUUGUUGGUGGGGUAGUGGCUUACCAAGGCUUUGACGGGUAGCCGGCCUGAGAGGGUGACCGGCCACAUUGGGACUGAGAUACGGCCCAGACUCAUACGGGAGGCAGGAGUGGGGAAUAUUGCACAAUGGGCGGAAGCCUGAUGCAGCAACGCCGCGUGCGGGAUGACGGCCUUCGGGUUGUAAACCGCUUUCGCCUGUGACGAAGCGUGAGUGACGGUAAUGAGUAAAGAAGCACCGGCUAACUACGU
rnacentral:rRNA from 1 species